rnacentral:rRNA from 1 species
AGUGAACGCUGGCGGUAGGCCUAACACAUGCAAGUCGAACGGCAGCACAGUAAGAGCUUGCUCUGACGGGAGGCGAGGGGCGGACGGGUGAGGGAUACAUCGGAAUCUACUUUUUCGUGGGGGAUAACGGAGGGAAACUUACGCUAAUAACGCAUACGACCUACGGGUGAAAGCAGGGGAUCUUCGGACCUUGCGCGAAUGAAUGAGCCGAUGGCGGAUGAGCUAGUUGGCGGGGUAAAGGCCCACCAAGGCGACGAUCCGUAGCUGGUCUGAGAGGAUGAUCAGCCACACUGGAACUGAGACACGGUCCAGACUCCUACGGGAGGCAGCAGUGGGGAAUAUUGGACAAUGGGCGCAAGCCUGAUCCAGCCAUACCGCGUGGGUGAAGAAGGCCUUCGGGUUGUAAAGCCCUUUUGUUGGGAAAGAAAAGCAGCAGGUUAAUACCCCGCUGUUCUGACGGUACCCAAAGAAUAAGCACCGGCUAACUUCGUG